rnacentral:rRNA from 1 species
AACCUCCGCAAUGUGAGAAAUCGCGACGGGGGGAUCCCAAGUGCCAUUCUUAACGGGAUGGCUUUUCAUUAGUGUAAAGAGCUUUUGGAAUAAGGGCUGGGCAAGACCGGUGCCAGCCGCCGCGGUAACACCGGCAGCUCUAGUGGUAGCAGUUUUUAUUGGGCCUAAAGCGUCCGUAGCCGGUUUAAUAAGUCUCUGGUGAAAUCCUGUAGCUUAACUGUGGGAAUUGCUGGAGAUACUAUUAGACUUGAGACCGGGAGAGGUUAGAGGUACUCCCAGGGUAGAGGUGAAAUUCUGUAAUCCUGGGAGGACCGCCUGUUGCGAAGGCGUCUAACUGGAACGGUUCUGACGGUGAGGGACGAAAGUUAGGGGCGCGAACCGGAUUAGAUACCCGGGUAGUCCUAACUGUAAACGAUGCGGACUUGGUGUUGGGGUGGCUUUGAGCUGCUCCAGUGCGAAGGGAAGCUGUUAAGUCCGCCGCCUGGGAAGUACGGUCGCAAGACUGAAACUUAAAGGAAUG